UAGGGAAUCUUCCGCAAUGGACGCAAGUCUGACGGAGCAACGCCGCGUGAGUGAAGAAGGAUUUCGGUUCGUAAAACUCUGUUGUUAGAGAAGAACAGCGCAUAGAGUAACUGUUAUGCGUGUGACGGUAUCUAACCAGAAAGCCACGGCUAACUACGUGCCAGCAGCCGCGGUAAUACGUAGGUGGCAAGCGUUGUCCGGAUUUAUUGGGCGUAAAGCGAGCGCAGGCGGUCAAUUAAGUCUGAUGUGAAAGCCCCCGGCUCAACCGGGGAGGGUCAUUGGAAACUGGUUGACUUAAGUGCAGAAGAGGAGAGUGGAAUUCCAUGUGUAGCGGUAAAAUGCGUGGAUAUAUGGUGGAACACCAGUGGCGAAGGCGACUCUCUGGUCUGUAACUGACGCUGAGGCUCGAAAGCGUGGGUAGCAAACAGG
rnacentral:rRNA from 1 species